CGCACCUAAAAAAAUGUUUGAAAGGGACGACAGGUUUCAAGGAACGCGAGGAAAAUUAUGAGCUCAACGGGAUGGGAAUGCCGAGCCGGGCCAAAGAAAGCAACAAAUUGCGGCACCUGUACUUUAUGGAGGAACAAGCGAGAUGAUUUGUUGAGGGGCCCUGGGGAGCCAGCGAGCGCGCCUUGAAAACAGGUGACGCAACAUCACACCGCAGCGUGCCUUCGGGGAAUAUUUGUAGACGUGACGGAAACGCACCAAAAACAAAACACCAGACGCAAACGCGAGCGAAGCGUUGAGAAAUGAUGUAAUCAAGCCGUCCUUCCUACCUAGCAGCGCUCCAUCCAUCCGCUCUAAAGGCCUGGCGGUCCCUUUGGCCUCGCUCUGGAUCAAGUCCCCCACAAGGCCCCCCCUGACCCCGUUAGAGGCACAUGAUGGGCGGCCCUGUCACUUCAAAUGGCUGCCCGGGUCCGGCGCGAGCCUCACCC